GUUACUACUUCAUAACUGUAAUUUUGCUAUUAUGAAUCGUAAUGUAAAUAUCUGUGUUUUUCCAUGGUCUUAGGUGACCCCUGUGAAAGAGCCCUUGGAUGCUCCCACCAGGGGUCAUGAACUGCAGGUUGAGAAAGGGCUGGCCUAGAGAAAAGUCUAGACUGGCAUCUGUGGCAAGAAGUCUGCUGACAGGUGUGCAUGGCCUGAUUGAGGACGGAACUAUCAUAUCAAUUACUGGGUGUGCAAAAGGGGCAGACAGUCAAAAGGCAUCACGCACAGCCUGAAGCAGCAAGAAGGCACAAGGCAGUGGGCUGCACUCAUGGGGACUCAGCCAACCACCAGGUGUCUGGUUGCCCAACGGAAAGACAGGAAAAUGGUUAAGGAGUAUCAGAGUCCGGCUACCAAGCCAAGGUUGACUCUUCCCUGAGAGAGUCAGCUGCACAGUCCGCCCCAGAGAGCUCUCAAGCUAGCAGCCGCUCAGGCUGUUCCGGUUUUCUGUUGAUGCCUACACACGCAUCCAGAGCCUUCCUUCUAUAAACACGUAUUCCUGUGUAUACAUGCAUGUGAUGGUAUUCUUUUUAAUUAAAAAGAUUAUUUUGUG